CCAGGUAGGAAGGGAGGUAGGGAGGUAGCUAGGUAGGCAGAUAGGGAGGAUGGAAGGCCAUUAAAUACUCCAUCCUCAACGGUCAUGGCCCAGAUACGAGACCUGACGGGACUGACGGGACUGACAGACGAACGGACUUAGUGACGAACGAAUAGGUUAGCAGACGGACGGUCGGACGAUCUGGCCUGGUUGAGAGCGAAGGAGGACAGGGUUGGGGGUUUAGGGUAUUUGGUAUUUGGGUGUAUUGUUGUUGUUUGUAGGGAGGGGGGGGGGCGUACCCUCAGACAGGCGUAUGGGUGUGGGGGGGUCAUAAUGGGGGCUUGACUGUCAAGGCUCCCUCUUAACUGUCACCACGCUUAGGGAGAGAGUAAGGCCAGGCAAUGAGAAGGGAGGGUGGAAAAGGGAGUGUGUGACUGAGAGACCGAGUGAAGGGGUCGGUCUUGAACCCAAACCAACCUUCAUCCUUUUGAAAGGCUGCUG
rnacentral:lncRNA from 1 species